CUCUUCCUCUGGCUGCUUGCCUGGGGAGUCCAACAGCUUCUAACUGAGUCACACUAACUGGCUAUAAGGAUUAUUAUAAUAACUGGCUAGAACCAUGGAACCAGAGUUUUGAACUGGUUAGAACCAUAGAACCAUCGUUGAGAACUGAUGAGAACUGGCUAGAACCAUGGAACCAUAGUUGAGAACUGGCUAGAACCAUGGAACCAUCGUUGAGAACUGGUUAGUACUGGCUAGAACCAUGGAACCAUAGUUGAGAACUGGUUAGAACUGGCUAGAACCAUGGAACAAUAGUUGAGAACUGGCUAGAACCACGGAACCAUAGUUGAGAACUGGCUAGAACCAUGGAACCAUAGUUGAAAACUGGUUAGAACUGGCUAUAACCAUAGUUUAGAACUGGUUAAAACCAUAGAACCAUGCCUGUCUGUCUGUCUGUCCUAGAUUCUAAUACGCUACAGGGAUCUCUAUGCACCCUGACUAGAACACACAGCUGUGAUGCCAUUCGGAGGUUGACAUUAAUAAGGAUUCUAGAGGAAAACGUGAUGAUCUGAACCAUGUGUGUCUGUGAUGUAAUUACACGUCUUUGUGAUGACGAAGAGCACAACUCUUUAUUGAUGAAACACUCGCCUGUCUGAAACCUCUUGCGUAGUCUAAUAUCGGGGCGCUGCUAUUGGCCCGUGAGCACAAAGGGGGAAAUCCGAUUGGUUGUGGCGGUGCUUUGCUUGGUUUUCUAUGUAACUCUGUUUCUUGGCAAAUUUAAUGAAACUGAUUUUUUUUUAUUCUUUUCAUAAUGUGGCAUUUGUAUUUCAACUUAAAGCCCAAUAAAACUUCACAGUGUAAAAAGUU